rnacentral:rRNA from 1 species
CCUACGGGGGGCAGCAGUCGAGAAUAAUUCACAAUGGGGGAAACCCUGAUGGUGCAACGCCGCGUGGAGGAUGACGGUCUUCGGAUUGUAAACUCCUGUCAUCCGGGAGAAAGACCUGGGAGUGAAUAGCUCACAGGGUUGAUAGUACCGGAAGAGGAAGGGACGGCUAACUUCGUGCCAGCAGCCGCGGUAAUACGAAGGUCCCAAGCGUUGUUCGGAAUCACUGGGCGUAAAGGGAGCGUAGGCGGUUUGGUAAGUCAGAUGUGAAAUCCCGG